rnacentral:lncRNA from 1 species
GUCGUACCGACUUUGAAUUAAACUUGGAAAAUAAUUUAGAACUCAGAACUUUGUAUCCUGGCAGCGGUUAUUAGGAAUGGGCAGGCUCAUCUCAUUGAUUGUGCUGUGAGAAGGCUCUUCAGCUUCAUAUGGAGCAAAAAGACAUUGCACACUGACCUACUGACAAAUUAAACCUGGUGCAUGGAGGAAGAGCAAUGUGUAGCAUCUGAGAGAGAAUGUAGUCUCCAGAGAGAACGUGGCCUAACAUACUUUCUCUCGUCAGUAAAAUGAAGCCAUUAGAAGCAGAUGUGUUUCUUCAGAAACCAGGAGCAAGAUCUGCAGGGUAAGAUGCAUGCUGCUGAAAGCCGUGUUGUGUUUGCGGUCUGUGAGUAAAGUUCACGUGAAGAUUUUUACAGCUCUUAGGGAUUUGGAAUUCAAAUGAAACAUUUUCAGAGAAAUAAAAAGCAACAAAAUAG